GGAUUGGGAUAUUCCGACUCCUUAAGGGCCUGGCGCACAUAAGGUGUGACCUUUUCAUUCCCGUUGUUAUGGAGGUAGGCUCUCUAGGAAUCUGGGAGUAGUAGCUGGGGGGCAAGAGCAAAUAAAGAGCUCGAGCUUCUGUGGUCUCUGGGGAGAUGUUCCCGGGAAGCCUGUCUAGAGGGCGGAGGGCAGCUGUUGAGAUGGCGUGGCUCCCCGGCUCCUGCGCCCGCGUGGCUUUCGCGGCGGGCGCUGCGGCCCGGUAUUGGACAGCCUGGCAGGGCAGCGCGGGGCCGAAUCCGGCUGCCGUGGCUGAGGCUCAUGGAUCACUCUUUUGUGGUAGGGCCACAUCUGCCAGAGCCUGGAGUCUGCGAAGGCCGGGACCCGGUUCCCCGGCCCACAGUGGGGGUGUGCAAACCCGAGAGAACUGGGUUGCAAAUUCGUGAAGAAUCAGCAUCAUGUUUGGCAGCUGAGUAUUGGAGCCAGGAGCCUGCCAUGAGGUUAUAUUCCCAGAGGAUGUCAGUCCCAAGGACCAGUAGCUGCCAUCAGUUUGGAUUCUGAAAACUAACUGGCAUCAACACUGGGUGUAGAAACAUGCUUGCCUUAUGUAUCAGAGGACAUGCUCAGCAGAUCCAAGAGAUAUAUUUGGCAACUUUUUCUAGAAAAGGCACAUUGGGUAUCAUUCAUUACAUUCUUGAGUUUUUUUGGGUUUUUUUUUUUUUUUUUGAGACAGUCUUGCUGUAUUGCCCAGGCUGGAGUGUGGUGGCACAAUCACAGCUCAUUGCAUCCUCAAUCACCCAGGCCUAAGCAAUCCUCCCACCUUGUAGCUGGGACUACAGCUCACAGCACACCUGGCUAAAAUUUUUUUUUUGUUGAGACGGAUUCUCUAUGUUGCCCAGGCUGGUCUCAGGCUCCUGGGCUCAGAUGGUCCUCCUGCCUCAGCUUCCAAAGGCACAGGCCAAGUUGUAGCUUUGUCCCUUGCCAUCAUGCCCAACAAGAGGUUCUAUACCUUUUAAUGAAUUGACUUUCAUAAAUUGGUUAUGUUGGUGGGCAAAGUUCUUUAAGCUGGAAAUUGUAAAUUCCUCCUGAAAUGUUUUUUCAUGCAGUUACCAUGAACUAAUACUACAAUAAAGGAUGGUCUUGGGUGUCAAUUCUUGAA
rnacentral:lncRNA from 10 species